AAUGAAUGAUCUGAGGCUGACUGUUGAAAUCCAUAUCUCAGAAUAGCUAUAGAAAAUUUUUGCAUUCUACUGCCUUGAUGCCUGCUUCAAACCAUACAGAGAUUUAUGCAAUUUGCAAACCAGUCUUGAAUUUGCAGCGUGCUCCCCAUUGACAGAAUACCCUUAAGGUAAAUCCAUAUAUACCUCUUCUUCUAAAUCUCCAUUUAGAAAAGCAUUAUUUUUAUCCAGUUGAGACAGAUGCCAAUUACAUGUUGCUGCCAGUGCAAAGAAAAUUCUCACUGUUGUCUAUUUUGCUACAAGACUAAAUGUUUCCUAGUAAUCAAAUCCUGCUACCUAAUCAUAGCCUUUUGCAACUAGGCGUGCUUUGAAUCUUUCCACUUCACCAUUUGCAUUCAGUUUCACCUUAUAAACCCAUCUGCAGCUAAUGAUGUGACAAUUUGAAGGUAGAGGUACAAUAAUCCAUGUUUCAUUAUCCUUUAAAGCUUGCAAUUCAAGAGCCAUGGCUUCUCUCAAGUGAGAAUAAUUCACAGCCUGAUGAUAAGAAACAGGUUCCUGUAUAUGUGAUAGUGAGGUGGUAAAAGACUUGUGUGAGGGAGCAAGUUUUUGAGGUGAUAGGAAUUUGGCAAUUGGAUGGGAGGUAACAUGCUUGGUUGUUGGUGGCAAUUCUGUAUAGUAUGCUUCCAGAUACUUUGGUGCAUGUUUAACUUUUGUACUUUUUCAUGCAGGCACAAAGGUGUUUUCACUAGUAGUUUGUUCAGGUUGAUUUGUGCUGUCUACAGUGGGCAGACUACUUGAAGGUGAUGAAUCAGGUGAGACAUCAUUGGUAUUUGAAUUGGUAUGGUUUAAUUGAGGUGAUAUAGGUUCAGAUAGGUCAAAUUCAACUUGUUCGUGGUUUGGAAAUGGAAUUAUUGUAGGGUUAUGGUCAAAAUGAUAAAAAUAUGUGUCAUGCACAACAUGUGUUUGAUGAAAUGUAAAUGGCUGCUGAUCAUGCUCUUUAAUUCGAAAU
rnacentral:lncRNA from 1 species